rnacentral:rRNA from 1 species
UACGUAGGGGGCAAGCGUUGUCCGGAAUCACUGGGCGUAAAGGGCGCGUAGGUGGUCUGAUAAGGGUGUGGUGAAAGCCCGGGGCUCAACCCCGGGUCGGCCGUGCCGACUGUCAGACUAGAGUGCUGUAGGGGCAGGCGGAAUUCCGGGUGUAGCGGUGGAAUGCGUAGAGAUCCGGAGGAAGACCGGUGGCGAAGGCGGCCAUCUGGACGGAUACUGACGCUGAGACGCGAAAGCGUGGGGAGCAAACAGG